rnacentral:lncRNA from 1 species
CGCGGCCUGGUUGGGCUGCCGCGUCCAGAACGCGGCGUUUUUGGUGACGUCGCGCCCGGGAGGGAGUAGUUUGCUCCGGGGCGGCUCGAGCAGCCCGGUUUCACGUGGGCUGUGAACAGAAGCCUGACGUCCAGGCCGCGGCGCCAGACCAAGUCCUUUGGCCUUGCGAGCAGGCUUCGUGAUGGCGGGAGCAAAGCCGUGACUGACUGCGGCCCAUUGAGGCUUACCCCUUAUGGUCUCAGUGGGCCUGGGUCUCCUGACCUAAUGAAAGUGGGAGAAGUAAAAACGAUUGAAAAGAGAGGAAUACGCUGGAAGUUUAAGGAAGCUGAUAGGCAAAAGCAAACAGUAGGGAGACACAGGAUUCACAACACCCCCACACCCUGAAGCCUGGGAAGUGCUCACUUGCCCUAUCAAGAAGUUUGGAAUCAAGCUUCCUUGAGAAAGGUACCAUGGAAAAAGCAAUAACAAAGAGCAGUUAACAAGCUAUGAUUGGACUGUGUACAACUGUAAAUGACAAAGAAAGUCAAACUGUAUGAUUUAUUGAAAUUAAUAAUCUGACUCACAAACGCUUAAAUAAAAGUUAUAAACUUUUUGGAAUACA